GUCGAGCGGGCGUAGCAAUACGUCAGCGGCAGACGGGUGAGUAACGCGUGGGAACAUACCUUUUGGUUCGGAACAACACAGGGAAACUUGUGCUAAUACCGGAUAAGCCCUUACGGGGAAAGAUUUAUCGCCGAAAGAUUGGCCCGCGUCUGAUUAGCUAGUUGGUGAGGUAACGGCUCACCAAGGCGACGAUCAGUAGCUGGUCUGAGAGGAUGAUCAGCCACAUUGGGACUGAGACACGGCCCAAACUCCUACGGGAGGCAGCAGUGGGGAAUAUUGGACAAUGGGCGAAAGCCUGAUCCAGCCAUGCCGCGUGAGUGAUGAAGGCCCUAGGGUUGUAAAGCUCUUUUGUGCGGGAAGAUAAUGACGGUACCGCAAGAAUAAGCCCCGGCUAACUUCGUGCCAGCAGCCGCGGUAAUACGAAGGGGGCUAGCGUUGCUCGGAAUCACUGGGCGUAAAGGGUGCGUAGGCGGGUUUUUAAGUCAGAGGUGAAAUCCUGGAGCUCAACUCCAGAACUGCCUUUGAUACUGAGAAUCUUGAGUACGGGAGAGGUGAGUGGAACUGCGAGUGUAGAGGUGAAAUUCGUAGAUAUUCGCAAGAACACCAGUGGCGAAGGCGGCUCACUGGCCCGUAACUGACGCUGAGGCACGAAAGCGUGGGGAGCAAAC
rnacentral:rRNA from 1 species